UGCCCCAUAACACCAAUUUAUUUUUUCGUAUAAGACCUAACAGCUCAUGAAAGGUCAUUUACCAAAAUUUUAGAAGAUUCUUGAUUUUCUUUCUUUUGUUUUGAAACCUAAAUAAUACCAACGAAAUACAAGGUAAAAGUCCGAGUCAGCCUUUUCCCGCCAUAUUUUAAAUCUCAAAUAUCUCGAAAAGGAGGUCCAUGACCCAUCAAUAUUUUUAGCUUAUUUUUAUC
rnacentral:lncRNA from 1 species